AGGACAAACGCUGGCGGCGUGCGUUAAACAUGCAAGUCGAACGGAUACGGGGGCCGCAAGGUUUCUGUGUUAGUGGCGGACGGCUGAGUAGCACGUGGCUGACCUAUCCGAUAGUGGGGGAUAGCCCGGGGAAACUCGGGGGUAAACCCGCGUGAGCUCGCAGGAGUAGAGACCUGUGAGGAAAAGCCGCAAGGUUGCUAACGGGAGGGGGCCGCGGCCCAUCAGGUAGUUGGUGGAGUUAAGGUUCACCAAGCCGAAGACGGGUGGCCGGACGUGAGAGGUCGGACGGCCAGACGUGGGACUGGAGAACGGCCCAGACACCUACGGGUGGCAGCAGUUAGGGAUCUUGCCCAAUGGCCGAAAGGCUGAGGCAGCGACGCGCGUGAGGGAAGACGGCCUCGGUUGUAACCUCGUUUCGCGAGACGAGGAGGACGGUAUCGAGGAAUAGCGACCGCUAACGUCCGUGCCAGCACGCCGG
rnacentral:rRNA from 1 species